UCUGGUUGAUCCCGGCGGAGGUUACUGCUAUCGAGGUUCGACUAAGCCAUGCGAGUCGAAUGUAGCAAUACAUGGCGUACUGCUCAGUAACACGUGGACAACCUACCCUUAAGNCAGGAAUAAACCCGGGAAACUGGGUAUAAUACCCGAUAGAUCUCGACUGCUGGAAUGCAUCGAGAUCGAAAGCUCCGGCGCCUAAGGAUGGGUCUGCGGCCUAUCAGGUAGUAGUGGGUGUAGCGUACCUACUAGCCUACGACGGGUACGGGUUGUGAGAGCAAGAGCCCGGAGAUGGAUUCUGAGACACGAAUCCAGGCCCUACGGGGUGCAGCAGGCGCGAAAACUUUACAAUGCUGGCAACAGCGAUAAGGGGACCUCGAGUGCCAGGUUACAAAUCUGGCUGUCGUGAUGCCUAAAAAGCAUUGCAUAGCAAGGGCCGGGCAAGACCGGUGCCAGCCGCCGCGGUAACACCGGCGGCUCGAGUGGUAACCGUUAUUAUUGGGUCUAAAGGGUCUGUAGCCGGCCGGAUAAGUCUCUUGGGAAAUCCAGCAGCUCAACUGUUGGGCUUUCAGGAGAUACUGUCUGGCUCGAGGCCGGGAGAGGUGAGAGGUACUUCAGGGGUAGGGGUGAAAUCUUGUAAUCCUUGAAGGACCACCAGUGGCGAAGGCGUCUCACCAGAACGGACCUGACGGCAAGGGACGAAAGCUAGGGGCACGAACCGGAUUAGAUACCCGGGUAGUCCUAGCCGUAAACGAUACUCGCUAGGUGUCGGCCACGGUGCGACCGUUGUCGGUGCCGUAGGGAAGCCGUGAAGCGAGCCACCUGGGAAGUACGGCCGCAAGGCUGAAACUUAAAGGAAUUGGCGGGGGAGCACCACAACGGGUGGAGCUUGCGGUUUAAUUGGAUUCAACGCCGGAAAUCUUACCGGGACCGACAGCAAUAUGAAGGCCAGGCUGAAGACUUUGCCGGAUUAGCUGAGAGGUGGUGCAUGGCCGUCGUCAGUUCGUACUGUGAAGCAUCCUGUUAAGUCAGGCAACGAGCGAGACCCA
rnacentral:rRNA from 1 species